rnacentral:rRNA from 1 species
CAGUCGUACCUGCGGAUAAUCAGCUUUUUGAGUGUGAUUAUGUGGUUUAUGAGGAGUUUAACCGCCUUCAUGUAUUGCAUAUUUGUGCUCUUGGGUGUACUUGUCUGUGUGGUAGGUUAACAUCAAUCUCGGUCGUCAUAAAAUGAUUGGAGGAAUGUAGCUUUGAUCUCGUAUCGAAGUGUUAUAGACUCUGGUAGAUGUGACGGUUGGGAUUGGAGGAUUGCAACGGAUACCCUUCGGGGCUACCCGUCUGAUCUCUGAAGGUUGCUCCGGUGCCGAAAGCGUGCUUACGGUCAUCGAAAGUGAUUUUAC